rnacentral:lncRNA from 1 species
GUUGUGGUCGUGCUUAACUAUCCGUGAAUAGAAUUUUUGAAGUUGACAUAUUGAAACAGUUACAAUGCACAUAUUUAGAGGAUUGUCAUCCAUAAAUGAAUGAAUAGCCAAUAUAUUUAUCUGAGUACGAUUUCCGUAUUUAUAGUUAUAUAAAUACCUUACCGGUAUGUUUCAUUAUGAUACAUUAUCUUGAUUGGCUAAAUGUAAUCUCGCAUUAUUCUGAAAUUAAGUUUCAUUUCCAAAUGAAAAUUAACAUUCAUGAUGACACGAGCGUUAACAGUAAAGUACAGGUAAAUAAAAGAAAACUUGACAGUAAUCGUGUUUCCAUGAUCCUAGCAAAAAAUUUAAAUACCAGUAUCGAAUAUACCUAUAAUUUUAUAGGGUCGAAAAAAAACGUUAACCGUGCGCACAUUUUUACAAUGAAGUGCUUUCACGCUAAAUACAAAAUCGGUCAACCCUUUAACACCUCAUUAGAUUAUAUUAAAAAAAACAUUCUAUUCCUAAAUAUAAUUUAAGUAGAUUGUCUUACCGGAUCAACUUGUACACCCGCUAUUCAAAUUACCAUGAUUGCCGCUUUACGUUCUAAAGAGUUCCUUGAACCGUCUUAUAUCUACGAUUAUUAUAUUUUAAGAAAAAAAGUGCAUCUAUAUUGGUAGAGUGAGCCAUAAAUGUUUGAUGUCUCUAUACUCGAACCGUAACAAUACUACCCUUAAUCCUUCAAACAUAUAAUUCAUAUUACAUCGAUCUUGAAGUCGUGAUUACAAUUAAAUGGGCGGACAUAUUGCUUCUAUUCUUCAGUCGUGAUUUGCACUUUUUGAGGGUCAGAGAACCUCUAAUCGUAGUUGUGAUGACAAUUUAAACGGGCGGUCAUACUGGUUCUAUUAUACAGUCUUGAUCAACACGUUGUGAGUAGAGAAAGAACCUGUACAUUGAAGUCGUGGUGACAAAUCAAAUGAGCGGAUUUAUUGCUUCUACCAUACUGUUAUUAUAAACACGUUAUGAAUGGACAGAGAACCAAUACAUUGUAGUCGUGUUCCCAAUUUAAAUGGUCGAACAUAUUGCGUCUACCCUACAGUCAACACGUGUAACUGGAAAGAGAAUCUUUAUCUUGUAGUCGUGAUCUGAAUUAUGUAGGUUGAUAUAAUGAUUCUACCUUGUAUUCGUUAUUAGAAUCUGGUGUAUAUGCAUUUCACUGCUAUUAUAUUUCAUAUAUCUAUUUAAAUAAAGAUUUCUUUUCUGUGUUAUUUUUGUCGUAUGUUUGAUGGUUACAAUUGUUACUUAUAAAAAUGUAGUAUCACAUUACGGGCAAUGAACCCAUAUCAAGAUAUGCUUACUCCGUAAAAUCACAGAUCUUACCGUCUG